ensembl:lncRNA
CCCUCUCCACCUGCGUUCUUGCUCCUCUUUCAUUUUUUCCUGUGCCUUAUCUCCUCCUCCCCUUCCUCUCCGGCCCCUCCAUCCCGAGGCAGGACAAAAUCUGAGCACCGCCUGGACCGAGGUCCCGCGGCGCCCUCCCUCGCCCUGCUCCCCCCGCCCAGACCACCAGGGGGCGACAGUUCCCGGCGGACCCGUUCCCUGUGGUCUCCGUGAGCCCAGAGGAAGAGCCGACUGGAGCUUCGGUCCAGCGGGGACCCUGCCUUGCUCCCCACGGCCGCGGCAGGACCUGGACCCUCCGUCCCCACCAGCCCUGGGCUCCCGCCUCCCCUCCAUCCUCCCCAGGACCACGUGUCCGGCUCGCACCACCACCCCGGCCUCUGGGUAGUCCCUCUUUCCCCGCAGGAACACCCAAAGAGAAUCAGGAACUUUAAGCAAAGGUAGUGGAUUGUGUUUAAAAUACUACAACUGCAGAGAUAAAGUUAAAUACCAGAGCAAGGGAGGCAGGCAUUUGGGGGGCGGGCUUUCCACUUCGGCAGAGACCAGCAUUGGGAUCGGGAGGACCCCCGGGGCCUGGGGGUGGGUCCUGAGGGCAGCUCUGCUCCAAGCUCCUCGUGGGUCCCGGAGAGCUGGUUAGAUGGCACAGGGUGGACACUGGCCGCGGGUCCCCACCCCCCUUCCUCCCUGGGAGGGGGGGUGGGUGUGUGGAGUGGAGAAUCCCACCAGGCCCGGCAAGAUCCCAUUCUCAGGGCCCUGUGGGGUCUCCCCUGGGGACAGCUGAGAACCCGGGAAGGGGUGCUGCUGGGAGGCGGGGGGUUGCUGCUCUGAUCAGGACUGGAUUGUUGCCAGGACUCCAGCCACGCCUCCCCUCUCUAAGGCCUGGGGUGUGAUGCCCCCCAGAAACCCGCCUGGCCCAUCUGCGGCCUUUUCCUCACCUUACCUGGCAGGUGCACCUUGAGUGGCUCAGGUACAUGGUUUGGGAGGGGUGUUGAGAAUAUGAGUUUUGGAGUCAAACUGCCUCGGUUUCUUCCUCGGAAAAAUGGGAGUGACAGGACCCCGCGCAUGGCCAAGGAUCAUGACAUCACACAGAGAAACGUGUGCUGCAGGGAGUCAGUUCCCUCCAGAAGGGUCGUGAGAGCGAAGAAGCCAUGCACACCGGCUUUUGACAAACACCUGCCAAACACCUGCCGUGCUGCAGAGCAAGAGGGACUGCUGUCACCCUGAGCAGGCGACUCCCCGUGCCUGGGCCUCCGCAUCCUUCUCUUAGAAUGAACAGACCUGGCCUCCAGCUCUGAUGGCUACGACAGAUGUAAAAGAAUCUCACGCAGCACCCGCUCCCCAGAAAGGUGGCACUGCCCACUCAGCAGACGCUUGGCUUUGAUGGCAUCCAGAGGAAGCGUGGUGUCAGCCCUCACUUCCUCCUUCCCUUUCUCCCUCCCCCGCACUCAGCACCACCCUGGGCUCCACUGGACUGAGGCGGGGGUCUUGACAGGGCCAGGGUUGUCCCAGCCGAGGCAGCCCAGGAUCUAAACCGCAUGAGCUCCCACAAAGAAGCGUGCUCACCAUGUCCCAAGUGACGCGGGCGCUGAGUCACAGUCCCAGGCACAGCCUCGGCUGCUCUGCCACUCCUGUGAACUCCCCAGAUCACUCACCCCGGGGCCCUGGGCCACCACGGUGCCCUGAGAAAGAGCCCAAGAAAGCCCAGAAUUAGUCAUAAGAUGUGAAAUCAGAAUCACACAGGCCAUGUGCCCAACCUUUAAACAGCCAGGGCAGCUCCACCCCACGGCUCCUCUGUAGGCCCCAGACAACGGGCAGGGGAGGGCAGCCAGGCCUGUACCCAGACAGGCCUGAAGGCAGGGCUCCUGGGGGCCAUCUGUCUAAAUCAUCAGUUCCCGUUGUGGCUCAGUGGUUAACCAAUCCGACUAGGAACCAUGAGGUUGCAGGUUCAAUCCCUGGCCUUGCUCAGUGGGUUAAGGAUCCAGCGUUGCUGUGAGCUGUGGUGUAGAUCAAAGAUGUGGCUUGGACCCCAUGUUGCUGUGGCUGUGGUGUAGGCCAGUGGCUCCAGCUCCGAUGAGACCCCUAACCUGGAAACCUCCAUAUGCCUCAGGUGCGGCCCUAAAAAGACAAAAGACUAAAUAAAUCAAUAAAUAACAUCAGUUUAAAGUCCUCUUAAGAACAUGGGUUUCCUCUGAUCUGUGAGCUGCCCAAGCAGACAGGACCGUCUCCAUCCUUCCCAUGAAGAAAGAGAGGCUGCAGGAGGCUGGCGGAGGUGCCCCUGGAAGGCACCGGCUAUGACUGCUCUGGGUCAGGACCGAGUCUGCCUUUAGGGCCCAGUCUGGUUCUGGCGAGUCUGCCGAGUUACCUGGGUAGCAUGACAGCUCUUUGUUCACCGCCCUUUAAAC